UACGGAGGUGGCAAGCGUUGUUCGGAAUUACUGGGCGUAAAGGGCGCGUAGGCGGCAAGGCAAGUCAGGUGUGAAAGCCCCGAGCUUAACUCGGGAAUUGCAUCUGAAACUGCUGUGCUUGAGUUCUGGAGGGGGUAGUGGAAUUCCCAGUGUAGCGGUGAAAUGCGUAGAUAUUGGGGAGGAACACCUGCGGCGAAGGCGGCUACCUGGACAGAAACUGACGCUGAGGCGCGAAAGCUAGGGGGAGCGA
rnacentral:rRNA from 1 species